rnacentral:lncRNA from 1 species
GUGCCUCAUUGCAUGUGCACAGGACCUUGUCUGUAGAAGUUUCCUCACUGCAGAGUGCUUGGUGACACAGAAAUGUACGAGUGUAUUAGGGAGAGGAGGGAGGCAAGCUGGAAAAUGGGCUGCAGUGUUUUGACCUGGAUACAAUAAGCACCCAUACAUGAGAUGAAACAGCAGUCCUGAGAAAGUACUUUGGUCUGAUGUCAAGUUUGGGUGGAUUUAAACCCCCUGCAUCCAAGUAAGUCACAUACCAAAAGACUGUCCCUGAUUUAUACAGGGAAGGCUAGUUAAGCCUCUUUAUAUUUAAAAUAAUAAACCAAUGCCAUAUUUACUGCCACUUCAUGGCAGUAAAUAACUACUUUUACAAGUAGUUCAAUUCUUAUCUGUGUUUCUGCAGACAUAAUUUUCUGCUUCUAUGGUAUUUCUUUGUCUGGAGCGGGAGGAUGGUCCAGCUUUCUCUCCUGUGCAACACCUCAUAUGACUAGCCUGAAUACUGAUUUGAAUGUACAGAAUUGAAAUAUUCUGGUCCAAAUCCAUUCCCUAGCAGUCAAUUGGGAUAGGAGAGAUAGGGUAAAUAUCUGCUUACCGGACGGCAGAUUUUUUUUCUUACUAUUUGCAUUAAAAAUAUUAUCUCAGUUAGGGAUACUUCUGCCUACCAAUUGUAUGGCCAUUCACAGCUCAAGGGCAGCUCUGCUAUUAGCCACAACAUAACAGAGCUUUCUAUACAUCAAAUGAAUUUUCAGCUCGAAACAGUAAUCAAAUCAAAAUAGCACUGACAGAACAAACCAAUGACUCCAUGCUAAGACACUAUUAAACCAUAGUGACUAAUAGCAGAAACUAUCUUGUCUCCUUUCUGACUCACUGAUAUCUUGUUUUCAGGUUACCUAUUUGCCAAGUCCAUAUAAUUCCAGAAGGAUAGCCAUUCCCCUACCAUAUACCCAAGGAUGAUGGUAUCAAUAUCCACAGCAUGUGAUUCAAACCCUCAAUGACUGCAAUGCACAAUGCAAGGAGAGAUUCGGAGGCUGGAAUAGGGGCUGCUGCUUCCACAGGAGAACAGCUCUUGAGGCUUCAAAGUGAGAAAUCUGAGGUAACGAUCAGAAGCCAAGCAUCUUUCUUGACUGGGAACAGGUUGGAACCUAUAAAUUAUUAA